rnacentral:rRNA from 1 species
CACUGUCACUCCUACGGGGAGGCAGCAGUGGGGGAAUAUUGCACAAUGGGCGCAAGCCUGAUGCAGCCAUGCCGCGUGUAUGAAGAAGGCCUUCGGGUUGUAAAGUACUUUCAGCAGUGAGGAAGGUGGGGUAUGUUAAUAGCAUACUCAUUUGACGUUAGCUGCAGAAGAAGCACCGGCUAACUCCGUGCCAGCAGCCGCGGUAAUACGGAGGGUGCGAGCGUUAAUCGGAAUUACUGGGCGUAAAGCGCAUGCAGGUGGUUUGUUAAGUCAGAUGUGAAAGACCCGGGGCUCAACCUCGGAAUUGCAUUUGAAACUGGCAAACUAGAGUACUGUAGAGGGGGGUAGGAAUUUCAGGUGUAGCGGUGAAAUGCGUAGAGAUCUGAAGGAAUACCGGUGGCGAAGGCGGCCCCCUCGGACAGAUACUGACACUCAGAUGCGAAAGCGUGGGGAGCAAACAGGAUUAGAUACCCUGGUAG